rnacentral:lncRNA from 1 species
CUCCUUUUUGAAAGUUGCUUUUUCUCUUCACCCUUGAGUAGAUCCAGUAUUUGAUGAAAUUCAUGAAAAUGGGUGGAAGCUGUCUUGCCCCUCCUCUUUUCUAGGAUGCACUCUGUAUGUGACUGUGACUUUCAAGGAAAUUUGUUUGCUAUUUGCUGUUUUUUUUUGGGGGGGGUGGUUAAUUUCUAAUUUCUUUCAUUGAUAAAUGAAGAAAAGUAUUGCACCUUUUGAAAUACACCAAAUGAAUUUGGUUUGUAAUUAAAAAACAAAUUUUCCCCUGUCAGUCAUUGUUUUAUAUACUUAGCAUAGAUUUGCAACUCACUGUGUGGUGGUCCUAGAACCCAGCUGAAGACCUGGCACAUAGAAGAACUGUGAAGGGUGGUGCUAGAAGACAGAUGCCUGCAGGAUGAUUGGCAUCCUUUCAGGUUUGAGGAUGUGGGCCUGCUUCAUGAAGAAGCUGGUGGUGGAUGGGGUGGGAGAACAUUUACCAACAAGAGGACUGACCAGUUGGGAAUCCCCUUAUUUCUGUUUUGGGUAUGAGGCCCCCCUAGCCCACUGAUAUUCUUUAAUGAAAAUCAUGGCGAGAGUCUUGUGGAGACUCUUCAUAAGUGUUAAUAGGGAUUUGUUUUUCAGCUUAUUUGGUUGCAGUUUCCAGUUUUUAAAAAUGUUUAGAUAAUUUUUUCCACCUUCCCCAAAUCCUAAAACUUGUAGAUUCAUUAGUGUUGAACCAAUGCUUUUUCCCAUCUCAAUUCUUUGUAUAUGCAUUCUUUUCAGAUGUAUUAAACAAACAAAAACCCUUCACACAAAAAAAAGGAUGGGAUC